rnacentral:rRNA from 1 species
GGGAAACGAUGUGAAAUUGCGUAAACAACCAGGAUGUUGGCUUAGAAGCAGCCAUACAUUUAAAGAGUGCGUAAUAGCUCACUGGUCGAGUGAAUUUGCGCGGAAAAUUACCGGGGCUAAGCUAUACACCGAAAUUGCGGAUGCAGUACAUUUAACAAUGUAUGUUAAAUGAGAAAGCUAGAAGAAAGAAAAGAAGAAACUAACUAACAUAUAAUGUUAAGUGUACUGUGUGGUAGAGGAGCAUUCUAUAGUAGGAAGAAGUAUGAUCGAAAGGACAUAUGGACGAGAUAGAAGAGAGAAUGCCGGAAUAAGUAGCGAGAGCAAAGUGAGAAUCUUUGCCGUCGAAAGUCUAAGGUUUCCUGGGGAAGGUUCGUCCGCCCAGGGUAAGUCGGGACCUAAGGUGAGGCUGAAAAGCGUAGCCGAUGGACAGCAGGUAUAAAAUUCCUGCACUACCGAAUACUUAAAAGAUUCAGAUGACACAGUAGAGGAAGGGAAUCCAGGAAGAGGAAAAACUGGAGUCGAAAGACAUAGUGAAAAUAUAAAGUAAUGAAGUCCCAAGAAUCACACUGGCGAGAAAAGUUUGAAGACAUUGUAUAAGGUACCCGUACCGCAAACCGACACAGGUAGAUGAGGAGAGGAUCCUAAGACGAGCGAGAGAAGUAUUGUUAAGGAACUCGGCAAACUAACCCCGUAACUUAGGGAGAAGGGGUGCCAUAAUAAAAUAUGGUCGCAGAGAAGAGUCCCAAGCAACUGUUUAACAAAAACACAGGUUUCUGCUAAAUCGAAAGAUGAAGUAUAGGAGCUGACGCCUGCCCAGUGCUGGAAGGUUAAGGGGAAGAGUUAGGAGCAAUCCGAAGCAUAGAACUAAAGCCCCAGUGAACGGCGGCCGUAACUAUAACGGUCCUAAGGUAGCGAAAUUCCUUGUCAGGUAAGUUCUGACCCGCACGAAAGGCGUAAUGAUUUGGGAGCUGUCUCAACAAUAUACUCGGCGAAAUUGUAGUACUAGUGAAGAUGCUAGUUACCUGCGACAAGACAGAAAGACCCCAUGGAGCUUUACUGUAGCUUGAUAUUGGGUUUCGGUAAUUUAUGUACAGGAUAGGUGGGAGACUGAGAAGUUCUGGCGUCAGCUAGAAUGGAGUCACCCUUGGGAUACCACCCUUAAGUUAUUGAAAUUCUAACCUGUGAUCAUAAGCUGGUCAAGGGACAAUGUCAGGUGGGCAGUUUGACUGGGGCGGUCGCCUCCUAAAGAGUAACGGAGGCGCCCAAAGGUUCCCUCAGCACGGACAGAAAUCGUGCGAAAGAGUGCAAAGGCAGAAGGGAGCUUAACUGAAAGACAGACAUGUCGAGCAGAUACGAAAGUAGGGCUUAGUGAUCCGGCGGUAGUGAGUGGAAAUGCCGUCGCUCAACGGACAAAAGUUACCCUGGGGAUAACAGGCUUAUCUCCCCCAAGAGU